UGGGGAAUUUUGGACAAUGGGCGAAAGCCUGAUCCAGCCAUUCCGCGUGCAGGAUGAAGGCCCUCGGGUUGUAAACUGCUUUUGUACAGAACGAAAAGGUUUCUAUUAAUACUAGGAGCUCAUGACGGUACUGUAAGAAUAAGCACCGGCUAACUACGUGCCAGCAGCCGCGGUAAUACGUAGGGUGCAAGCGUUAAUCGGAAUUACUGGGCGUAAAGCGUGCGCAGGCGGUUAUAUAAGUCAGAUGUGAAAUCCCCGGGCUCAACCUGGGAACUGCAUUUGAGACUGUAUAGCUAGAGUACGGUAGAGGGGGAUGGAAUUCCGCGUGUAGCAGUGAAAUGCGUAGAUAUGCGGAGGAACACCGAUGGCGAAGGCAAUCCCCUGGACCUGUACUGACGCUCAUGCACGAAAGCGUGGGGAGCAAA
rnacentral:rRNA from 1 species